rnacentral:rRNA from 1 species
UAGGGAAUCUUCCACAAUGGACGAAAGUCUGAUGGAGCAAUGCCGCGUGAGUGAAGAAGGGUUUCGGCUCGUAAAACUCUGUUGUUAGAGAAGAACAUAUCUGAGAGUAACUGUUCAGGUAUUGACGGUAUUUAACCAGAAAGCCACGGCUAACUACGUG